rnacentral:rRNA from 1 species
UGCGAAGGGGGCUAGCGUUGCUCGGAAUCACUGGGCGUAAAGGGUGCGUAGGCGGGUCUUUAAGGCAGGGGUGAAAUCCUGGAGCUCAACUCCAGAACUGCCUUUGAUACUGAGGAUCUUGAGUUCGGGAGAGGUGAGUGGAACUGCGAGUGUAGAGGUGAAAUUCGUAGAUAUUCGCAAGUACACCAGUGGCGAAGGCGGCUCACUGGCCCGAUACUGACGCUGAGACGCGAAAGCGUGGGGAGCGAACAGG